rfam:Saccharopolyspora rectivirgula strain DSM 43113 contig00075, whole genome shotgun sequence.
CGACCCCGGGCGGGAGAGACCUGCCGACCACCGGCAGGCGCCGAAGGAGCAAGACUCCCCGCAAACUCUCAGGCCCCGUGACCGCUCGGGAGAG